rnacentral:rRNA from 1 species
AACGAACGUUGGCGGCGUGCCUAACACAUGCAAGUCGAGCGCGGGCAGGACUUCGGUCCUGUUCCGAGCGGCGCACGGGUGAGUAACACGUGAGUAACCUGCCUCGAAGUUUGGGAUAACCGCCCGAAAGGGUGGCUAAUACCGGAUAAGCCCCCACUGGCACAGGCCAGAGAGGGAAAAGCCUUGGCGCUUCGAGAUGGGCUCGCGUCCCAUUAGCUAGUUGGUGAGGUAACGGCUCACCAAGGCGAAGAUGGGUAGCUGGUCUGAGAGGAUGAUCAGCCACACUGGAACUGAGACACGGUCCAGACUCCUACGGGUGCAGCAGUAGGGAAUAUUGGACAAUGGGCGCAAGCCUGAUCCAGCCAUGCCGCGUGAGUGAUGAAGGCCCUAGGGUUGUAAAGCUCUUUCACCGGUGAAGAUAAUGACGGUAACCGGAGAAGAAGCCCCGGACUAACUUCGUGA